GACGAACGCUGGCGGCGUGCUUAACACAUGCAAGUCGAACGCUGAAGACCUGGCUUUUGUUGGGUUGGAUGAGUGGCGAACGGGUGAGUAACACGUGAGUAACCUGCCCUCUUCUUUGGGAUAACGCCCGGAAACGGGUGCUAAUACUGGAUAUUCACUGAUCUUCGCAUGGGGGUUGGUGGAAAGGUUUGUUCUGGUGGGGGGUGGGCUCGCGGCCUAUCAGCUUGUUGGUGGGGUGAUGGCCUACCAAGGCUUUGACGGGUAGCCGGCCUGAGAGGGUGACCGGUCACAUUGGGACUGAGAUACGGCCCAGACUCCUACGGGAGGCAGCAGUGGGGAAUAUUGCACAAUGGGCGAAAGCCUGAUGCAGCGACGCCGCGUGAGGGAUGGAGGCCUUCGGGUUGUAAACCUCUUUCGCUCAUGGUCAAGCCGCAACUGUGGGUUGUGGUGAGGGUAGUGGGUAAAGAAGCGCCGGCUAACUACGUG
rnacentral:rRNA from 1 species